UGUCCCUAAUAGCAAAGGGAUAGUUGUCAAAUGUUUGGCUACUCAAUGGCCCCACUUCUACCACAGCGGUUUGAAAUCUGUCAGUUUACUUAAAAUUCAGACACAAGGGCUCCCUCUUCUACAAACUGGCUCCUUAUCCUUGAAAUGCCCAAAAGCAAAUACAGCAGAGAGAGAGAGAGAGAGAGAGAGAGAGAGAGAGAGAGAGAGAGAGAGAGAGAAAGAGACUGACUUAAAAAAAAAAAGGCCUCAAAGGUAUAGACACUGCCUGGCCAUUAGCUGCUUAUAGGAAUUUCAGUGAAAAUUUAGACUUUAGCUCUGCUCUCUUCAUGAGUCUAGCUUUGCAGAGGUUGAGCUCCUAUUAUAUGCCAGGCCCUGACAGUUGGCAGUGUCUGGUCUGGUAUGCAGUAGGCGAUCAAUACACAUUUGUUGGUAAUUGCCAAUGCAACUUUUGAAGUUUUCUUUGGUCUUGGGGAACCAGUGCCCGGUGGCAUGUGAUUUUCAUGUGGCAACUGAGGGAGUGUGUCCCCAUUUCAAACACCAGGCUUCAGCCCCUGCUUGAGGGCCACCAUGUUGCCUGUGGACAGACUCUCAUUUCCUCCCCCACACUGGGAAGGGGAUGAGAACCAUUCUCUGCCCAAAUGCAGUUUCAUGGAUGAACAGGGAUGUGUGAAAACCUGAAAGUGGCAAACAGCUUAUUGGGGUCAGAAAAUACAGAGAGGGGGGUUUGACGGGGUGCACGUUGCAAGGUGAUAUGUCAGGAAUCUGGGCAUAAAACAGGAGACUGUACUUUGCAACGGUGGCCACCAGACCCGUGUUUGGCAUUUCUAUGAUGACCCAUCACAGGCUGCUGUUAGGAGGAGCAAGUAAGACCACAUACGUAAAGGUGCUGUGUAACCUGGAAAAAGUGUUAAUUAUUAUAAGGUAUUUUGGAUGUAGCCAGGUGAAGUGUCAGAGGAUAGACAUGUUAAUUUUUUUCUCAAAUUCAUAUUCUCAGAACCAUUUCUGUAAUGAGAAUUCUUAUUAACUUCCCUUUUUUUCUCAUCUUUUUCAUAAGGCUGUUUGCUUUCAGGUUAUAUCCUUCCUAAUUUUUUGGUCCUUAAAAAGUGAUCAUAAUAGUACUUAGAGUUACUUUAAAAUGGGCACUCGACAAAAUACAUAGUUGGCUGUAUCAGCUCCCACUCCUUAGUGUGGGUAUUUUAUUGUCUGUGGGAUCAAGCUCUCUGGGUGCUUACGUAUUAGAACACCUGGAUUCAGAUUGGAGCUUUGAGAUCUUCUCUCUUUUGCUGCCUAUUCCUAUUGUCAAGUGUCGCCCAUCCUUUGACUGAGUAAUUCUCAGCUACGCUCUUUCCUUCCCGUGACCUCAGCUCUCUUCCUGUUCAGCUCAUGCCACACUUUAAUAACUACUUUGGCUCCCCAGCUAUUCACCUGUUCUUAGUCCCUCUGUGCCCCCCAAAUCUUCCAGAGCUGCUUGCUUUUCAUCAGCCACACCAUCCUUAAAAGAACUCACUGUAUGUUGCCAAAGUGAUAAGGUAGGAAAUAGAAUAAGUUGGAUAACUUUAGGAAAGGAGAUGGCAGCCUUAAUAUUUGUAUAGAUAAAGCCAUACACCCAGAAUUCCCACAUGGAUGAACAGAAACGCAUUUGAAACUGAGAGAGUUCAAGAAUGUGGCCAGAUACAAAAUAAGUACACAAAAUCAAGAGCUCCUGAGUAACGGGAAUGACCACUGAGAAAGUGCGUAAUAAUAAAAAUAGUCAUGCAUUCCACACAUGUUCGAGUUCCUGUGAUUUUCCUGGCACUGUGGUAGACACUGGACACACAGAGGAGAACUAAACAAGUGAGAUCCCGGCGCUCACAGAACCCACACUCUGCUGGGGAGGCCAACAGUCAGCACACACACAAGCCAAUGAAAACGAAAGACCACAAAAGGCUCCAGGCUCCCAUAGAGACUAAGGAGGGACCCGCUGUCAGCCAGGUGUGGUGAGGGCCUCUCUGAGGAGGCGACAUUAAGAUCUGACAGUUGAGAAUGAGGAAGGAGGCCAUUUGGGGCCUAGGGAACAGCAUGUGUGACUCAUGUACCUUGAACAAGCUGGGUCUGUUCAGGGAACAAAAAGACAUAGUGUGCUGGGAGUGGUGUGAGCUGAGAGACUGGGAGAGCGCCUGGAGUGAGGGUGGACGGGUGGGUUCAAGUCGGGGAAAGGCGCACCUGAUUCAGUUAUAAAAAGGUUAUUCUCGCUGCUGUGUGGGGAAACCAUCAGAGGCCUUGGGAUGUUUUGACUUUGGUUUCCUUCACUUCCAAUGGGUGGUCUCUGUCUCUUCUGUUAACUUCCAGGGGAAAAAUCUGUGAUUGACCUGGCUGAGACCUUCGCCCCAUACGGUCUUUGGUGGCUCAGAUGAACCAAUCCCAGUGCCUUCUAACAGUUGGAGAGUAAGAAGGAUCCUGGAGCGGGGGAACUUCUGACAGCUCCUGCUCAUCCCCGGAGAAGACAGAAGCCCAUCACCUGGUACACUUCAGAGGAACACGCACCUGACAGCCAAGGAGAACUGGGCAGUAGUCCUCGGAUGUUGGGCGUCAUUUUCCGUGGGCAGUUGGGAGUCACUGUGCUUCUCCCACAAAAACUCUUCUCACAGUCCAACUUGUAUACAAACCCAUCAGACUGCUAGCCCCAGGGCAGGUACCUACCUAUCUUCCUGUCCCAGUACUGAGGGGCUCAAUAACUAUUGUUAACCUGAAGACACCGAAAACCUUGACAGCGCUGAGCUUGUUACAGCACCAUCUUGCUGUGUGUCCAUGUGCAGGUGCAACUGUACGUGAGAUCAGCGGCCAACCACCACCCUUUCCCAGGCCACACUCCAUCAGCAAGAGACUAUGCUACACCCCAAGACGAGAUGCAGCCAAUAAACAUGUCUAUGUAUUGACCUGAAAAA